UGGUGGCCUGGGAGGGCGCCGGUCGUCCGGUGGUGUCGGACGGCGGGCCCGGGUUCGUCGCCUGAGCCGUCGGCC
rnacentral:tRNA from 1 species